GUUGACUUUUAUUUUUCUAUUUUAUUUAUUUAUAAUUAUGAUAAAUGGACACACAUAGGGAAAUGUGAGGUUUUUAAACCUUUCGGAAUAUCUUUAUUAACAAAGUUGGAAAGUGCAAUCCUAAGUUAAAAAAAAUUAAUAGUGGCAUUGAUGUGGAAGAAAGCAGAUUGGUUAAAUAGUGUACUAUAGUGUAACAUUGACAUAAAGCAACCACUGGGAAGAAUUCCUGGUUCUCCUGAUAGAAGAGGGAUUUACAGAAGGUUUAUAUCUUAGAAGUUUCUUCACUAGAGAUGGAGAAUGAAUUAGAUGGGGGAUUACCACCAGCUCUUUUGAUGAUAACCAUAGCCUUUCUGUUACACAUUUUUGGAAAUGCAACUACGUUCUAUUUCAAGAUUGAGUAUUCUGAUCGGAAAAUCAACAGCGGGUUAUGGACACGCUGUGAAUCUAACACUUAUUAUAAAGAUUGUUACAACACAGAAUCGUAUGCAGAACAUGAUUGGUAUAGAAUAUGUCUAGCCAUGAGUGCAUUUGGAUUCAUUGCUCUCCUAGCAUCGAUAGCUUGUGUUGGGUUGAGAUUGUUCAAGUUCCCUGAAAACAAAGUUUUACGAAUUACUGCUAUCUUAGUUACUUUCUCUGCUGUGGUGUUUAUUCUCAUAGGAACUGUCUUAUUUGUGAAGAAUGUAGAUGACAUCACAACAGGGGGAGAAUUUUUUUAUGGGUAUUCAUUUGCAUUAUGCAUAUCAGGAAUGUGUCUUGCUGCUUUGGUCGACAUCCUCCUAGUUAUUGAACUCAUAAAGCCAAAAAAGAAUACUCGAAAUCGUGUUGAUGCCAAUUCAAUUAACAAUAUUAAUUUCUGAAAUACGAAUGCAAAUUGGCCGAUUGAGUAAUUAAGUUGUUUUUCUACACAUGUGUCAUAAAUAUUGUGGCGAUAUUGAAUGAUAGUAGUGCCAAAAACUUUGUUAGUAUUGUUUAUUUUUUGGGGACAAAUAUUUAUGUAACAUUGUGAAUAAUUUAUGUAUAAUGAAGACUUCGUAUGUUUAUUGAAGUGUAUUGACAAUAUUCAUCUCUAUUUUUGCCAAUUGGACUAUGUAUUAUAGUAUUAAAUGUGUGUAUAUUAUUAUAUAGUUACCUAUUAUAUAAGUAAUCAGUUUAAUAUUGUAUAAUCCAGUAUUAGAGGAAAUGUGGUUUUUCUUAGCGGCAGCAUUGGAACAAGGGCUACUUUCACCUGUACUUUUACCGGACGUUUAGGGUAUUGUUUUGAAACAUGUGAAAGAAAUCGUAGAAAUUUUAGACUGCAUUAAAAUUAUAUUUGUGUAUGUUUUCAAGAAUAGUAAUAGAUUUAAAUUGUUGUAUACAAAAUGUAUGUAGAAUAGAGUUUGAUUUAUAUCAGAGAAAUUGCUUCAUAUAAACUAUUUUUGCACCGACGUAUCGCAACUUUUUGCGGUAAUGGGGUUAGAAUUACGUCAUUUACUUUCACAUUAACGUCAAAUAUAUUUGCAUUAUAAGGAAGUUUCCGUAUUUGGUCAUACAUUUUAAUCUUUUUAGGAAUUUAAUGCGCGCGAUGUAAACAAAAGCGUAAAACAAAUAGUAUUUUCUUUAGUUCCAGCUUGUCCCGAUCUCCAGUUCUCAGCUAAUAAAUAUUUUUUUAUAUGAUUUUAUUUUAAGUUACAGUUUAGGAGGUUGAAGUUCCUGAAUAUUCCGUUAUAAACGCAGUUUAGUUAUUGAUAGCAGUUCUUCUGAAGGAAUAUAUUUGUUCUAGUUUUCAGUUUUCAAAGGAGUCAAAAUUUCUAUUAGUUUUCUUUUUUCUUUAAAAUCCAUGUUUUCAUUGUAGUAGUAAUAUAAAUUUUAACGUUGAAUAGGGUAAAUGUGCGUAAAGACUGCAUAAGUGUCCGUUUGUAUUGUUGGGUUACCUUUAACCUAUUUUAAUAAUCUAGAAAGAGGAUUAUAAAGGAUUGUGAUUUAUUCAUUUACAUAUUACUUAAUUUAAUACAUGUAUUAUGGAAAGUUGCCGAUGGACCUGUGUGUCGCUUUUUUGUCGAUCUAAGUAUUAUUGAUACUUCGUUUAUUAUAGACGGAAAUUUUAGAACCUAUACUUCUCACAACUGUUAACUCAUGUUGCACUUGUUAUAAUGCCAGUAUCGUAAAAAAAAGCUGUUUAAUUUUGAUUGAGUUUUGUGUUUAAAUUCAGAACAUCGCCAUAAGUACAGAAUAUGAUGCUUUAUUGAAUAAUAUAUAAAAAUACAAGUAACCUGUCUUACUACACAAAAAGGAGACUUUGCGUCAACAGAGAAACGAGACUUAUAUUAAUAGUAGGCUCUGUGUGCCAAGUGUUGUUGAAAGUUUAUGUUUAAUGUAUUUGUAAUUAUUAUGAGCGUUUGGUUUUCCUAUUAAAUUAUUUUGGUCAGUGA